rnacentral:rRNA from 1 species
UACAUGUGGGGCAAGCGUUGUUCGGAAUUACUGGGCAUAAAGGGUGCGUAGGUGGUUUGUUAAGUCAGGGGUGAAAUCCCGCGGCCCAACCGUGGAACUGCCUUUGAUACUGGCGAACUUGAGUGCGUGAGGGGUAGGGGGGACGAGCAGUGUAGCGGUGAAAUGCGUAGAUAUUGCUCGGAAGGCCAGAGCCGAAGGGGCCCUACUGGUGCGCAACUGACACUGAGGCACGAAAGCGUGGGGAGCAAACAGG